UUGACCUCGGAUCAGGUAGGGAUACCCGCUGAACUUAAGCAUAUCAAUAAGCGGAGGAAAAGAAACCAACCGGGAUUGCCUCAGUAACGGCGAGUGAAGCGGCAAGAGCUCAAAUUUGAAAGCUGGCCCCUUCGGGGUCCGCGUUGUAAUUUGCAGAGGAUGCUUCGGGUGCGGCCCCUGUCUAAGUGCCCUGGAACGGGCCGUCAGAGAGGGUGAGAAUCCCGUCUUGGGCAGGGUGCCCGUGCCCGUGUGAAGCUCCUUCGACGAGUCGAGUUGUUUGGGAAUGCAGCUCUAAAUGGGUGGUAAAUUUCAUCUAAAGCUAAAUACCGGCCGGAGACCGAUAGCGCACAAGUAGAGUGAUCGAAAGAUGAAAAGCACUUUGAAAAGAGAGUUAAACAGCACGUGAAAUUGUUGAAAGGGAAGCGCUUGCGACCAGACUCGGCCUCGGGGUUCAGCCAGCACUCGUGCUGGUGUACUUCCCCGGGGGCGGGCCAGCGUCGGUUUGGGCGGCCGGUCAAAGGCCCCAGGAAUGUAUCGCCCUCCGGGGUUGUCUUAUAGCCUGGGGUGCAAUGCGGCCAGCCCGGACCGAGGAACGCGCUUCGGCACGGACGCUGGCGUAAUGGUCGCAAACGACC
rnacentral:rRNA from 1 species